AUAAGAUUAUAAAAAUAGGCUACAAAUACAAAGACAUGAAAUAAAAGAACCCACAGAUCACAGAAGGGAAACCUCCAAAAACCCAAAUACCGAAUCGAAGGCUCAGAGAGAGAGAGAGAGAGAGAGAGAGAGGGACAACAAGAAACACAACUAGAAGACCCGUAGAAGGAGGGCAAAGAGGAAGGACAAAUGGGUAGGAAGAAGAAGAGGGUUUCGUCGAAGGUUUGGUGCUACUACUGUGAUAGAGAAUUUGACGAUGAGAAGAUACUGGUGCAGCACCAGAAAGCUAAGCACUUCAAGUGCCAUGUCUGCCACAAGAAGCUAUCAACCGCUGGUGGCAUGGCCAUUCAUGUCCUCCAGGUCCACAAAGAGAGCGUCACCAAAGUUCCCAAUGCAAAGACUGGAAGAGAGUCGACGGAUAUUGAAAUAUAUGGGAUGCAAGGAAUCCCACCUGACGUCUUGGCUGCACAUUAUGGAGAGGAAGAUGAGGACGCUCCAUCAAAAGUAGCUAAAGUGGACAUCCCGUCAACCCAGUUUGUUGGUGGUAUGGUACCAGGUUCGAUGGGGAUUGGAUAUCCUCCCCAACCAGCUUUGGGUGCAAUCCGGCCAAUUUACAGUCCUGCAGUUCCAAUGCCUCCAAAUGCUUGGCAACCUCGUCCCCAGCCAUGGUUUCCACAACUUCCCUCAGUCUCAAUUCCUCCUCCUUCCUCAUUGGGUUAUGUGCCGCAGCCAUUGUUUCCUGUGCAGAAUGUGAGGCCACCCCCACCAUCAUCAACCCCUGCACAUCUGCCAUCACAUAUAACUCCACCUGGACUUCCUACAUCCAUGCCUCCUGUUCCUGUAUCACAACCUCUGUUUCCUGUUGUUGGUAUAAAUAAUGUACCAACUCAAAGUUCUCCCUUUUCAGCUCCUAUGCUUUCAACUAGUAUUCUCUCAAAUUCUCCAGCUGAACUUAAAGGCUCAACAGAUGCACAUCAAGGUGGGACCUUAAUUAAUUCACACUCUUAUGCAUCUGGUCCAAAUACUGGUGGUCCAUCAAUUGGACCACCCCCUGUAAUUGCAAACAAAGCUCCUGCUCCUCAGCCAGCCGCUAAUGAGGUGUAUCUGGUUUGGGAUGAUGAGGCUAUGUCCAUGGAGGAAAGAAGAAUGUCCUUAGUGAAGUAUCAGGUGCAUGAUGAAACUAGCCAGGUAAGUCAUACUACCUCUUUAAUUUACGGAGUUGGAUUGCUCUAACCAGAUAGGUAGGCUUUAUGUUUUUUUUUUUUGGUUUGGAAAAGGAGGUAGGCUUUAUGUUGUCUUUUCAGAUUGGCUUGUUUACCAAUUUUUCCUGUUUAGAGAGGCAUAUACUGUAUGAAUUUGAACUUUUUUCUUUUGAAAAGAAAAUUUUAGCAAAGAACAUGUGAACCUUUUAGUCCUCCAUCUUUCUGCUUUCCAACCCUUGGUUGAUGGGCAUGCUGUUUUGUUUAAACUGCCAUUUCUCGGGUUUCCACGCAACUGCAUCAAAAGGUUCAAGUAGGUAUUUACAUUAUUUUUGCUGUUAGUUAGUAAUUACAAUUUUGACAAGCUUGCUGCAAUGGGCUCAAGGAUUCUUCUACCUAGCAUCGUACUCAGUUAAGUACGGAAUCUAUGUAUUUGUUCUUUUAAAAUUUGGAUUUAUCUGUUGUUAUUCACUCUCCCUAUGCUUUCUUUUGGGGCGUGGGGAUUUGAGUGAAACAAGAUCAAGCCCAACAGAUUUUUGUUUAAUUGUAGCAACAUUACUUUAUUAUUGAACAGUGAAACCAGACUUGGCACAGAUGAGUUCAAUUGAUGCAGCCAUAGACAGAAGGAUUUUGGAGAGCCGGCUCGCUGGCCGGAUGGCAUUUUAGAUCAAAUAGCAGCGAUGGGCCAAUGGCAUUGUAUGCACUGUUGGAAUCUCACGCUGAUGUAUGGACCUUGGAAUGUCAUGCUGAUGUGUGGUCCAUGUUUCGCCUAGUUUAUUUGAUGAGCAAGGCGGGUUCUUUGGUUUGUCUUGCAAGUAAAACCAGUCAUACCUUUGUGUUGUAUUCUUUGCAAGAAUGUGAGGUGGAAGGGAAAAUUAUUUUAAGUUAUGAUAUUCUUUUUUCCAUUUUCCCUUUCGCUUGCUCCCAUAGAUUUUGAUGUAAACCUUUUAGGAUAUGUUCAUUUGAAGGAUUUCAUUUACUUCC